GACGAACGCUGGCGGCGUGCCUAAUACAUGCAAGUAGAACGCACAGUUUAUACCGUAGCUUGCUACACCAUAGACUGUGAGUUGCGAACGGGUGAGUAACGCGUAGGUAACCUGCCUGGUAGCGGGGGAUAACUAUUGGAAACGAUAGCUAAUACCGCAUAAUAUUGAUUAUUGCAUGAUAAUUAAUUGAAAGGUGCAAUUGCACCACUACCAGAUGGACCUGCGUUGUAUUAGCUAGUAGGUGAGGUAACGGCUCACCUAGGCGACGAUACAUAGCCGACCUGAGAGGGUGAUCAGCCGCACUGGGACGGAGACACGGCCCAGUCUCCUACGGGUGGCAGCAGUAGGGAAUCUUCGGCAAUGGACGAAAGUCUGACCGAGCAACGCCGCGGGAGUGAAGAAGGAUGUCGGAUCGUAAAGCUCUGUUGUAAGAGAAGAACGGGUGUGAGAGUGGAAAGUUCACACUGUGACGGUAUCUUACCAGAAAGGGACGGCUAACUACGUG
rnacentral:rRNA from 1 species